rnacentral:rRNA from 1 species
UGGGGGAUAUUGGACAAUGGGCGCAAGCCUGAUCCAGCCAUGCCGCGUGAGUGAUGAAGGCCCUAGGGUUGUAAAGCUCUUUCACCGGUGAAGAUAAUGACGGUAACCGGAGAAGAAGCCCCGGCUAACUUCGUGCCAGCAGCCGCGGUAAUACGAAGGGGGCUAGCGUUGUUCGGAUUUACUGGGCGUAAAGCGCACGUAGGCGGACUUUUAAGUCAGGGGUGAAAUCCCGGGGCUCAACCCCGGAACUGCCUUUGAUACUGGAAGUCUUGAGUAUGGUAGAGGUGAGUGGAAUUCCGGGUGUAGAGGUGAAAUUCGUAGAUAUUCGGGGGAACACCAGUGGCGAAGGCGGCUCACUGGACCAUUACUGACGCUGAGGUGCGAAAGCGUGGGGAGCAAACAGG